AGACGAUUCCUCAUCUGCGUUUGGAGUAACAUUUAAAAGUCAAUAAAUAAUUGGUAUGCGGUAUUUUUAUUUUUACAACAUUAUUAGAAAAGCUACAAAAUGAAUAACUUAGAUCGGGGUUGCUGGAGUAAUUAGUAUAGAAGGAUGAAGUGAAUUCUCAUUGUGGCAAGUGGAAUUAAAUGAAUCAUUCUCUUUUAAAUCAUUCAGUUCCCUAAAGAUUUCCUUGCUUAUCACUUCAAUGCCAGUAGAGGUAUUAGUUUCACUGGAUAUACUAUCACCAAUAUCACUGACCAGUUUGAGGUGCUCUGCUGGAAUGAUGUAUUGCUGCUUUCAUUGGAGUGUUCCAAAAUAGUUUCUAAAUCCCUAGAACACCAUUUGUUUAACACAUGGAUUGAUGUAUCAUGCAAAGACAACAUAUUGUCCAUAU